rnacentral:rRNA from 1 species
CCUACGGGAGGCAGCAGUGGGGAAUAUUGGACAAUGGGGGCAACCCUGAUCCAGCCAUGCCGCGUGAGUGAAGAAGGCCCUAGGGUUGUAAAGCUCUUUCAGGUGUGAGGAUGAUGACAGUAGCACCAGAAGAAGCCCCGGCUAACUUCGUGCCAGCAGCCGCGGUAAUACGAAGGGGGCUAGCGUUGUUCGGAAUUACUGGGCGUAAAGCGCGCGUAGGCGGAUUGGAAAGUUGGGGGUGAAAUCCCGGGGCUCAACCCCGGAACUGCCUCCAAAACUCCCAGUCUUGAGUUCGAGAGAGGUGAGUGGAACUCCGAGUGUAGAGGUGAAAUUCGUAGAUAUUCGGAAGAACACCAGUGGCGAAGGCGGCUCACUGGCUCGAUACUGACGCUGAGGUGCGAAAGUGUGGGGAGCAAACAGGAUUAGAUACCCUGGUAGUCCACACCGUAAACGAUGAAUGCCAGACGUCAGCAAGUAUACUUGUUGGUGUCACACCUAACGGAUUAAGCAUUCCGCCUGGGGAGUACGGUCGCAAGAUUAAAACUCAAAGGAAUUGACGG